GACGAACGCUGGCGGCAUGCCUAACACAUGCAAGUCGAGCGAGUAGAUCCCUUCGGGGUGAAGCUAGCGGCGGACGGGUGAGUAACACGUGGGCAACCUGCCUCAUAGAGGGGAAUAGCCUUCCGAAAGGAAGAUUAAUACCGCAUAAGAUUGUAGUACCGCAUGGUAUAGCAAUUAAAGGAGCAAUCCGCUAUGAGAUGGGCCCGCGGCGCAUUAGCUAGUUGGUGAGGUAACGGCUCACCAAGGCGACGAUGCGUAGCCGACCUGAGAGGGUGAUCGGCCACAUUGGGACUGAGACACGGCCCAGACUCCUACGGGAGGCAGCAGUGGGGAAUAUUGCACAAUGGGGGAAACCCUGAUGCAGCAAUGCCGCGUGAGUGAUGACGGCCUUCGGGUUGUAAAGCUCUGUCUUCGGGGACGAUAAUGACGGUACCCGAGGAGGAAGCCACGGCUAACUACGUGCCAGCAGCCGCCGCGG
rnacentral:rRNA from 1 species